rnacentral:lncRNA from 1 species
AGCAAUUGGGUUCAAGUGGUUAAUGAGUUCCACCAAGAAUGAAUUGUUUAGAAGAACCUAGGUUUGAUUCCUGGGUGAACGAUUAUUGGUCAGGUUUUAUUUACUUCUCAAUCGAACUUUAGAUUACCAGAGUCUUUUUCCAUGAGAACCGGAAAGUUAACACUAAAGAAUAAUUAAGACUGUCAAUGAAAGUUAUCAUUUCAGCAAUGUUUUCUUGGACCACUGAGUUUGUUGGUCAAUUUGCUGGAUCUGAUGCCCUAUUUGUUGGUUGAUUUGCUGGAUUUUUUAACAUAUUCAAUCUUUUCCUGGCUGGUUCAUCAUCCAUACCAUCUUUUGGUACCCCUAUAACUUUUUGUUUCUCUUUUGAAGGAGCUCAUUCUUUCAUCACAUGGUUGUAGCAUCCCCAAUGCAUACAAAUUAUAUGUAGACCCACCAUGUAUUGCACUUGGUACCACUGUCCCUUUAUCCCUACACGACCAACAAACCUUCACAAGCCACAUUCAAGGUUUGAAGAUCAACUUGCCGACCAUAGUCCACAAAACACUUUUGUCACAAAAAAACAAGGUUUAGGUUCAUAAUUCUUAUCAACACUACAGUUUUGUCGAUCUUUGUCGUAGACGCAUCGUUAGUACGACUCUAUCAUCUAUGCAUAGGAAGGAGGAAGACACAAGUCUCAUUUAGAUCAAAUAAAAGGCUGCUAAGCUACUUCUCCCCUGUGGCUAGCAUUGCUCUGAACACGAACAAAAUGGGCCUUAAACAUGUUAAUCAACACAAGACUCCACAAUGUUCUCUCCUGUUCGUUAGUGUAUAUUUGUAAUGAGGGUGUAAUAUUAGGGCUAAUCCCCCAUAGUUUCGUUUAUAUUUGAUUUGUGGUUUUAGCCGUUUUAUUGGUUAUACCGCCUUUAUAUAUUGGAAUCUCAUCUCGUUCGACAAAAAAAAAAAAGACUCCACAAUGUUAGAGAUUGCAUCACUCACAAUAUCUUUAGACUGCUCUAAUUCAUAACCAUGUCAUAAUCUUCUUCGAUGCCCUCAAAUUUCAUGCUUAGUUAACAUUUAUAGAACACUUCCCAUCCAGCAGAAAAAUAUUAAUCUUACCACGGUCUUUUUAACCCUACACGACCAACAAUCGUCUGUGAGGUAAGCUUCCAUGCACAUAUGUGCAAACCUUCACAAGCAACCUUCAAGGUUUGAAGAUCAACUUUAAAAUGGUUGUCGACCUUUGAGACUGAAGUCCAAAAAACACUUUUGUCAUAAAAAAACAAGGUUUAGGUUCAUAACUCUUAUCCACACCACAGUUUUGUCGAUCUUUGUCGUAGACGCGUUGUUAGUACCACUCUAUCAUCUAUGCAUAGGAUGGAGGAAGACACAAGUCUCAUUUAGAUCAAAUAAAAGGCAGCUAAGCUACCUCUUCCCUGUGGCUAGCAUUGUUCUGUUCGUGUUCACAUUGACAUUGUAGAGAUGCUGAUUUAUUGUGAGCUUGAUGAUCAAAGUUAAUGCAUGCUCCAAAAGUGUUACUAGAAUUCCUUUCAGGUGUUUAACUUAUGAGACUUGUCAUUAAUAAUUUAAUCAAAAACUACUCAUUGAGAUUGUCAUGCUAAAAUGAUAAUUUUUUCACAAAAAACUUCUCUCAUAACCCUAACACUUCGACCUAAUGUUUAAGGCCCAUUUUGUUUGGGUAACAAGUUAUCAACAUGACUCCACAAU